UUUUGUGUCCAUACUUGCCCCAACUGUUCAGGGUUCGACUUCUGCGGUCGUAAAAAGCUGCUCCCGGCGGAGCAUCUGGUUAUUAGUUGUUAUUGGCUUUGAACUAGCUGUCAAUAACUGCGAGUACUCUCAGAUUUGUACUUAGUGUCUCUUUGCUGUGGGGAUGUAUAGAUAUCAUCCCAUGUCCGGUCUAUGUCAUGUCAUUUAUCAUCAUAAAGCCAAAGAGACUUUAAGUCAGGCAUCUUGGAAAUAAUCUGUUUUCGAUUGUUAUCAAUUUUAUUUAUUUUCUAUUUUUGCUUUGUUUUGAGUCAUACAAUUCCUUAACAUUGCAUUGCAAUCGAUUAUUCCUUAUUAUCGUUGUUUAGUGCUUCAAUUGUAGAGAUUCUUAUGAGU
rnacentral:lncRNA from 1 species